GCUAAUAGCACCACCGCAAGCAACUUGAGCUCAUCAACAUUGAAUUCAAAUUCAAGUUGGAUGAGAUUGAGCUGACUGUCCUUUACUACGCUUCCAAGAGAGAUAAUCGUAACAAGGCGACAGAUUUCCCAUUUGACUCACGAACUGGACAAAACUUGCGAACUGAAAGAUCAGCUUACCCGUGAAAACAAGAAAUUGGGCGAUGAGAACGCUGAGCUUAAGAGCCAGUAUUCUGAACUCAACUGCAGAUUCCAUGAGUUAGAUAUUGAAUAUCGCCGUCUAGAAAAUGAACGUGAAAAGUUGGCAUACAAAGAAAUUCAGAGGCUCGUAAAGGUGAAGAAUAUCGCGUUCAACUCAUGGAAUUGCAGCUGAGAUGAACGAAUCCAUCUCGAUAUGGAACACUUACCGAUAAGGAGGAAGAGCUCAAGUCUAUUAAGUAAUUCGACGUUGCAAUUUAAAACAACAUAUCGAGCAAUCCCUGCAAAUUGUCGUAAAUUUUUAGGCAACUAUCCAAUUAUCUGGUUUUUUGCAUAUUAUCAGUUUCUACUCUUGAUAUGUUUUAUCGAAAUAUGGCAAAGUUUUCAUUUUGUAUAACGUAAAGGAAAACAAUAAAUAUCUUGAGAUUUA